AAUGCAAACGUCUACUUUCCCUUAGGAGUUCCGUAAGGAGGAAAAGGGACAGGGAGAUGGUCACCAUGUGUCUAACCUGGUGGGAAUGCAGGAGAGGAUUGGCAUGGGCGGCAUGUUCUGUAAAAACACAUUGGCUCCGGCUGCUUGAUGGUGCUAUUCAAACCUUGCGUAUCUUACUGAAUUUUUCUCUCCUGCUCUCUCAGUUACUAAAGGAGUGUUGAAUUCUCUGA